GACGAACGCUGGCGGCGUGCUUAACACAUGCAAGUCGAACGGAAAGGCCCUGCUUUUGUGGGGUGCUCGAGUGGCGAACGGGUGAGUAACACGUGAGUAACCUGCCCUUGACUUUGGGAUAACUUCAGGAAACUGGGGCUAAUACCGGAUAGGAGCUCCUGCUGCAUGGUGGGGGUUGGAAAGUUUCGGCGGUUGGGGAUGGACUCGCGGCUUAUCAGCUUGUUGGUGGGGUAGUGGCUUACCAAGGCUUUGACGGGUAGCCGGCCUGAGAGGGUGAACGGCCACAUUGGGACUGAGAGACGGCCCAGACUCCUACGGGAGGCAGCAGUGGGGAAUAUUGUACAAUGGGCGGAAGCCUGAUGCAGAAACGCCGCGUGCGGGAUGAAGGCCUUCGGGUUGUAAACCGCUUUCGCCUGUGACGAAGCGUGAGUGACGGUAAUGGGUAAAGAAGCACCGGCUAACUACGUG
rnacentral:rRNA from 1 species